rnacentral:rRNA from 1 species
AGAGUUUGAUCCUGGCUCAGGAUGAACGCUGGCGGCGUGCCUAAUACAUGCAAGUCGAGCGAACAGACGAGGAGCUUGCUCCUCUGACGUUAGCGGCGGAUGGGUGAGUAACACGUGGAUAACCUACCUAUAAGACUGGGAUAACUUCGGGAAACCGGAGCUAAUACCGGAUAAUAUAUUGAACCGCAUGGUUCAAUAGUGAAAGACGGUUUUGCUGUCACUUAUAGAUGGAUCCGCGCCGCAUUAGCUAGUUGGUAAGGUAACGGCUUACCAAGGCAACGAUGCGUAGCCGACCUGAGAGGGUGAUCGGCCACACUGGAACUGAGACACGGUCCAGACUCCUACGGGAGGCAGCAGUAGGGAAUCUUCCGCAAUGGGCGAAAGCCUGACGGAGCAACGCCGCGUGAGUGAUGAAGGUCUUCGGAUCGUAAAACUCUGUUAUUAGGGAAGAACAAAUGUGUAAGUAACUAUGCACGUCUUGACGGUACCUAAUCAGAAAGCCACGGCUAACUACGUGCCAGCAGCCGCGGUAAUACGUAGGUGGCAAGCGUUAUCCGGAAUUAUUGGGCGUAAAGCGCGCGUAGGCGGUUUUUUAAGUCUGAUGUGAAAGCCCACGGCUCACCCGUGGAGGGUCAUUGGAAACUGGAAACUUGAGUGCAGAAGAGGAAAGUGGAAUUCCAUGUGUAGCGGUGAAAUGCGCAGAGAUAUGGAGGAACACCAGUGGCGAAGGCGACUUUUCUGGUCUGUAACUGACGCUGAUGUGCGAAAGCGUGGGGAUCAAACAGGAUUAGAUACCCUGGUGUCCCACGCCGUAAACAAUGAGGGCUAAGUGGUAGGGGGGUCUUCCGCCCCUUAGUGCUGCA